rnacentral:rRNA from 1 species
AAGUUCCGACCUGCACGAAUGGUGCAACGAUCUGGACACUGUCUCAGCCAUGAGCUCGGUGAAAUUGUAGUAUCGGUGAAGAUGCCGAUUACCCGCUACGGGACGAAAAGACCCCGUGCACCUUUACUAUAGCUUAGUAUUGACUUUGGACAAGUGAUGUGUAGGAUAGGUGGGAGACAUUGAAGCAGCGUCGCCAGGCGUUGUGGAGUCAUUGUUGAAAUACCACCCUUUACUUGUUUGAAGCCUAACUUCUAAAAGAAGGACAGUGCUUGGUGGGUAGUUUGACUGGGGUGGUCGCCUCCAAAAGAGUAACGGAGGCUUCUAAAGGUUCCCUCAGCACGCUUGGUAACCGUGCGUAGAGUGCAAUGGCAUAAGGGAGCUUGACUGAGAGACCUACAAGUCGAUCAGGUACGAAAGUAGAGCAUAGUGAUCCGGUGGCGCCGCAUGGAAGGGCCAUCGCUCAAAGGAUAAAAGGUACGCCGGGGAUAA